rnacentral:rRNA from 1 species
GACGAACGCUGGCGGCGCGCCUAACACAUGCAAGUCGAACGAGAGAGAGGGAGCUUGCUUCCUCAAUCGAGUGGCGAACGGGUGAGUAACGCGUGAGGAACCUGCCUCAAAGAGGGGGACAACAGUUGGAAACGACUGCUAAUACCGCAUAAGCCCACAGGUCGGCAUCGACCAGAGGGAAAAGGAGCAAUCCGCUUUGAGAUGGCCUCGCGUCCGAUUAGCUAGUUGGUGAGGUAAUGGCCCACCAAGGCGACGAUCGGUAGCCGGACUGAGAGGUUGAACGGCCACAUUGGGACUGAGACACGGCCCAGACUCCUACGGGAGGCAGCAGUGGGGAAUAUUGCACAAUGGGGGAAACCCUGAUGCAGCGACGCCGCGUGGAGGAAGAAGGUCUUCGGAUUGUAAACUCCUGUUGUUGAGGAAGAUAAUGACGGUACUCAACAAGGAAGUGACGGC